rnacentral:rRNA from 1 species
CCUACCUGGUUGAUCCUGCCAGUAGUCAUAUGCUUGUCUCAAAGACUAAGCCAUGCAUGUCUAAGUACACGCCUUUAUACGGCUAAACUGCGAAUGGCUCAUUAAAUCAGUUAUGGUUCCUUAGAUAGUACACUCCUACUUGGAUAACUGUGGCAAAUCUAGAGCUAAUACAUGCGACCCAGCUCCGACCUCUCGCGGGGGACGAGCGCUUUUGUUAGCUAAAAAACCAAUCCGGGCUCUACGGUUGUCUUCGGGCUUCCGCAUUCCCGGUCUUAUAGCCUCUGUGAUGACUCUGAACAACUUUGUGCCGAUCGUAUGCCCUCGUGGCGACGACGUAUCUAUCAAAUGUCUGCCCUAUCACACUAUCGAUGGUACGUGCUAUGCCUACCACGGUGAUGACGGGUAACGGGGAAUCGGGGUUCGAUUCCGGAGAGGGAGCAUGAGAUACGGCUACCACAUCCAAGGAAGGCAGCAGGCGCGCAAAUUACCCAAUGCAGACACUGCGAGGUAGUGACGAAAAAUAACAAUGCGGGACUCUUUCGAGGCCUCGUAAUUGAAAUGAGUACACUCUAAAUCCUUGACACGAGGAUCCAUUGGAGGGCAAGUCUGGUGCCAGCAGCCGCGGUAAUUCCAGCUCCAAUAGCGUAUACACGGGUUGCUGCAGUUAAAAAGCUCGUAGUUGGAUCUCGGGCGCGGGCUCGCGGUGUGCUCGUCGAGGCGACCAUCGCUUGUCCAAGCCUCCCAGCCGGACUUUGAAAGUCCCUGGUGCUCUUCAUCGAGCGUCUUGGACGGCCGGCGUGUUUACUUUGAAGAAAUUAGAGUGCUCAAAGCAGGUCUAGCCAGCCUGAAUACUGUUGCAUGGAAUAAUGGAAUAGGACCUCGGUUCUAUUUUGUUGGUUUUGAGAGCACGAGGUAAUGAUUAAGGAAGCUGACGGGGGCUUACGUACUGCGGCGCGAGAGGUGAAAUUCUGUGACCGUCGCAAGACGAACGAGAGCGAAAGCAUUUGCCAAGCAUGUUUUCGUUAAUCAAGAACGAAAGUCAGAGGUUCGAAGACGAUCAGAUACCGUCGUAGUUCUGACUGUAAACUAUGCCAACUGUCGAUCCGCCGUGGUUACUUCAAUGACCCGGUGUGCAGCCUCCGGGAAACCAAAGUCUUUGGGUUCUGGGGGGAGUAUGGUUGCAAAGCUGAAACUUAAAGGAAUUGACGGAAGGGCACCACCAGGAGUGGAGCCUGUGGCUUAAUUUGACUCAACACGGGGAACCUUACCCGGUCCGGACACUGGUAGGAUUGACAGAAUUAGAGCUCUUUCUUGAUUCGGUGGGUGGUGGUGCAUGGCCGUUCUUAGUUCGUGGAGCGAUUUGUCUGGUUAAUUCCGAUAACGAACGAGACUCUAGCCUGCUAACUAGUCGGGGGACCGUCCUUUCCUUCGCGAGAGGCGUCCCUUCCGCAAAAGACUUCUUAGAGGGAUUGGUGGCGCUUAGCCACAUGAGAUUGAGCAAUAACAGGUCUGUGAUGCCCUUAGAUGUCUGGGGCCGCACAUGCGCUACAAUGGAUGGAUCAGCGGGCGCCAUGCCCGGCCCGAAAGGGUCUCGGGAAAUCCAUUGAACCCCAUUCGUAGUAGGGAUUGGGGAUUGAAAUUGUUUCCCAUGAACCCGGAAUUCCUCGUAAGCGCGAGUCAUCAGCUUGCGUUGAUUACGUCCCUGCCCUUUGUACACACCGCCCGUCGCUACUACCGAUUGCUCUAGUUGAUGAGCGCUUCGGAUUGGCCCCAUGUUGGCUACGCCUUUCGGGGCUGCCCUUGGCGGCUGAGAAGAUGCGCAAGUUGACCGGAGAAGAGGAAGUAAAAGUCGUAACAAGGUAUCCGUAGGUGAACCUGCGGAAGGAUCAUUA